AUUUUUCUUUUUUCUUUUUUUUUUCUUUUUUUUUUUUAAUUAUUUUUGUCCCCAUUUCCAUGUUUGUGAUUCUUAGUUGAUCACCCUAUGUUUGACAAAGGCACAAUUGAGAAAUAGCGAGAUAAGAAUUGGCAAAAGGGAAUAUAUCAAUUCCACGAAGAAACAUGUGAUAGAAAGUUUCAAUAAACAAGAAUUCAAUUAUUCCAAUCUUCAAUAUUGUCAAAUAGAAUUAAUGCCCUCUCCCUACCACACACAUUAGAAAAUUCUUGCAAUUAUCCAUUGAUAACGUUCAAUAAUUGACGGUCCAAAGUGGAAUAAUUACAUCGAGCAUGAAACCUUACAAAUGAAUAUGGACCGUCCAAUUUGAAUUUGUCAUUUUUCUGAAUCUAGGAUUUUAUCCUAUUACAAGAUUUACAGUUAGUUAAAUGACUAAUAGAAAAAUAAUUAUAUGAUAAAAAUUUAUUUGCAACAAGAAAGAAGGCCUCUCUGAUAAGUCAUCUUGGAGACUUUAAGGAUUCCCCUAAUUGAGAUUUGCCUUUAGGGCCCUUGGUCCUGAUGUAAAGACGAUAU
rnacentral:lncRNA from 1 species